UAGGGAAUCUUCCGCAAUGGGCGAAAGCCUGACGGAGCAACGCCGCGUGAGUGAAGAAGGUCUUCGGAUCGUAAAACUCUGUUAUUAGGGAAGAACAAAUGUGUAAGUAACUAUGCACGUCUUGACGGUACCUAAUCAGAAAGCCACGGCUAACUACGUGCCAGCAGCCGCGGUAAUACGUAGGUGGCAAGCGUUAUCCGGAAUUAUUGGGCGUAAAGCGCGCGUAGGCGGUUUUUUAAGUCUGAUGUGAAAGCCCACGGUUCAACCGUGGAGGGUCAUUGGAAACUGGAAAACUUGAGUGCAGAAGAGGAAAGUGGAAUUCCAUGUGUAGCGNUGAAAUGCGCAGAGAUAUGGAGGAACACCAGUGGCGAAGGCGACUUUCUGGUCUGUAACUGACGCUGAUGUGCGAAAGCGNGGGGGAUCAAACAGGAUUAGAUACCCUGGUAGUCCACGCCGUAAACGAUGAGUGCUAAGUGUUAGGGGGUUUCCGCCCCUUAGUGCUGCAGCUAACGCAUUAAGCACUCCGCCUGGGAGUACGACCGCAAGUU
rnacentral:rRNA from 1 species